rnacentral:lncRNA from 1 species
CAUUUCAUAUUUGCAAAAGGAGUAUGAGCAAGUCUUAAGUGCCAAAUGUAAUUCAUGUUAGACGUAAGAUCAGUAUUACAGAUGGAACUAUAUACAUGUGAAGGCAAUGGAACAGCCUUGUUAUCAGACAAAAUAUCAUCAUGACAAGAAACAUAUACAGAAGGCAAUGCAACAACCUUGCUAUCAGACAAAGUGUCAUCACUACAAGAUGCAGAUACAGAGCAAAUAGAAGUAGAGGAACAACUAACAGAGGAAGAAGGGGAAGGAGGAACCCAAGCAAGUUUAUAUAAGCCAGCAGCUUCUCUACCAAGAUCCAGAGGCCUCCUCAGAGAAGGGUCCUGUAUCAUGUGUAGUAAGCAUGAAUGUU